GCCCGCCUAGCUCAAUCGGAUAGAGCGUCAGACUCUUAGGUGGGUUUAUCUGAAGGCUGCGAGUUCGACCCUCGCGGUGGGCU